CCUACGUGAGGCAGCAGUGGGGAAUAUUGGUCAAUGGACGCUAGCCUGACCCAGCAACGUCGCGUGAAGGAAGAAUGCUCUCUGGUUGGUAACUUUCUUUUAUGGGGAAGAGCAGUACACGGUACCCCUUGAAUUACCCACGCCUAACUACGUGCCAGCAGCCGCGGUAAUACGUAGGUGGCCAGUGUUGUCCGGAUUUACUGGGUUUAAAGGGUGUGCAGCCGGGGAGACAAGUCAGAUGUGAAAGCCUCGGGCUCAACCCUUAAAUUGCAUUUGAAACUGGUAUCCUUGAGUAUAGGAGAGGUAAGCGGAAUUCGUGGUGUAGCGGUGAAAUGCGUAGAUAUUAGGAAGAACACCGAUGGCGAAGGCGGCUUACUGGACGGUAACUGACGGUGAGGCGCGAAAGUGUGGGGAGCAAACAGGAUUAGAUACCCGUGUAGUC
rnacentral:rRNA from 1 species